rnacentral:lncRNA from 1 species
UACACAGAUGCCACGGAGGACCGCAAGAUCGCCUUUGAGACCCUGAAGGUGAAGGAUGAGAAAAGCUCUAAAGAGAUUGAGGUGCAGAUGAAGAAGAUCCAGAGGCUGCAGGAGGCCAUCAGUGCCUUGAAAGGGAAGAUCGUAGCCCACAGCCGCGAAGGUGAAUGGCAGAAUCAGUGUAUCCGAAACGACAAGGAGCUGGUCCACGUGCAGCUUCGAAAACUUAAGAUCCAGAGGACCCAGGCCCGGACCGAAUCUCAGGAGAACUUAGUCAAACUCACCCUGGAAAGUAACGCCACCCUCAAGGCCCUGAAAAAGGUUGUGGAGAAGCACUGACCCCCGAGGAGCAGGAGGAGGUCGAGAUCCAGAGCCAGGAGGAGAUCACAGAGGAUCUCGCCAAGAUUAUGAUGGACUACUUGGGAAUGGAGAACUUCUGGAAGAGAUACAACAAGGUGAAACUGGAGGUUCUGAGUCUCCAGCACAGGCGGCUGCAGCUGCUGGAUAUCAGCAGCAAGCUGCGGGAGAUGCUCAAGCAGUACUUGGACGGCAUCUCGGUGAGCGACGAGGUGCUGAGCCGCCUCAACCCGCUCUUCAUAGUAAACCACAAAAGCAACCUGCCCCAGCUGCCCCCAUCCGCAGCGCAGCCUGGCGGUGACAGAGGACCUGGUGGCGACAGAAGACUGACUUACAACGUCAUCGAGGCGGCCCACAUUGCCUCCCAUAUCCUGUGACCCGAGGAGGAGGAGGAAGCGUUCUAAACCCCAGAGACUUUUUUUCCUUUCUUGAAGCCCGAGUGCUUUGCUCUCAUGCUUAGGUGGACACUCCAGCACUGUUCCAGUUACCUACCACCGCCCUAUGUGGCAUAACCAAUUAUUAAUUUUUUAAAAGAAAAAUAGAGAAAUAAAUAAAAUAAAAGAGAAAAUUCUC